CUCUGGUCUGACGAACAGAAAUCACAUAAGAGGCUAGGCAUGAGGAUAAGGCUGCCUUACAAGUCGAAGUCCAAUAACUACACAGAAUCAUGCAUGAUAAAUGUGGCAGAUAGGUGGAGAGGAAGGAACGUGU
rfam:Haemonchus contortus, ISE/inbred ISE, WGS project CAVP01000000 data, contig: Hcontortus_5844